CAUCAUAACCUGCCCGACAUCUGACUCCUCAGACCAGCCUCUGGCUUCCUUACUUUUCAUUCCAUCCCGGAAGAGUACACACCAACUACUGAAUCUUCCUUAGCCUGAUGAAGGGUUUUUGAACCUGAAAGUUUGCU